GACGAACGCUGGCGGCGUGCCUAAUACAUGCAAGUCGAGCGGACUUUCAAGAAGCUUGCUUUUUGAAAGUUAGCGGCGGACGGGUGAGUAACACGUGGGCAACCUGCCUGCAAGACGGGGAUAACUCCGGGAAACCGGGGCUAAUACCGGAUAAUAUCUUCCUUCGCAUGAAGGAAGGUUGAAAGGCGGCGCAAGCUGCCGCUUGCAGAUGGGCCCGCGGCGCAUUAGCUAGUUGGUGAGGUAACGGCUCACCAAGGCGACGAUGCGUAGCCGACCUGAGAGGGUGAUCGGCCACACUGGGACUGAGACACGGCCCAGACUCCUACGGGAGGCAGCAGUAGGGAAUCUUCCGCAAUGGACGAAAGUCUGACGGAGCAACGCCGCGUGAGCGAAGAAGGUCCUCGGAUCGUAAAGCUCUGUUGUCAGGGAAGAACAAGUACCGUUCGAACAGGGCGGUACCUUGACGGUACCUGACCAGAAAGCCACGGCUAACUACGUG
rnacentral:rRNA from 1 species